GUAAGGGCGACUGAAAAGGGAUCAGCCCAGCGCGUAGGCUGCAGGUUCGCCUCACUUCGAUGGGAAACGGAUCUGUGAGCGAUGCCGCGUGUGGGAGGGAUCAAGGGAUCGCUCGUUCCGUCUCGAAGUAUGUAUUGAUUGUUGUCUCGCUGCCCAUAGAGGGUGUUAGGCCCGUAGAGCCUGUUCGAGAUAUCCCGUUGAUUCCUCUCGAGAGUCGGGUUGCUUGAAAGUGCAGCCCUAAGUAGGUGGUAAACUCCAUCUAAGGCUAAAUAUUACCACGAGACCGAUAGCGUACAAGUACCGCGAGGGAAAGUUGAAAAGAACUCUGAAGAGAGAGUUCAAUAGAGCGUGAAACUACCACGAGGUUAAAGCGAGUGGGCGUUCGUGUCCGAAAUGUCCAGGAAUCAACCUACUCCUGACGAAAACGACAAGAGGGUCGCAGGCGCAUUUAAACGGAUCUUCUCUCGUGCGUUCGUCUACAAGUACGGCCUCGAGAGUAGACUGGCGUUUCCUCUUGGGCGCUCUUAAGGGGGGUGCUCUUCUGUUCGAAGUAGGACGUCGCGGCCGUUCACGCGGUGUCGAAGACUCGGAGGUCAUGGAAACCGUAUCUUCUUUCUCUUUCGUCGUCUCGCGGCGGCGAUCGAGUGGUCGAGCGGGGCCGCUCCGGUGAUCUGACGGCCGCUGGGACGGUUAAAUCAUGCCUAAAGCGGGCCUGUGACGGGGUAGUGGAUUCGUCCUCGACCGCUUCUUCUUCUUCUUUUCAAAAAAGGGAUGAUGAAGUGGGAGA
rnacentral:rRNA from 1 species